rnacentral:tRNA from 1 species
GCCUGGGUGGCUCAGUUGGUUGAGCAUCUGACUUCAACUCAGGUCAUGAUAUCGUGGUUUGUGAGUUCGAGCCCCGCGUUGGGUU